rnacentral:rRNA from 1 species
UGCAACGACUCUCGGGCUUCGAUAUCUCGUUUCUCGCAUCAAUUAAAAGCGUAACGAAAUGCUAUACUUGGCGUGAAUUGUCGAAUCCCGUGAACCAUCUAGUUUUUGAACGAGCGUAGAUCCCCAAUCCUUAAAGUUGAUGUGACUUCUGCCUGGA